rnacentral:lncRNA from 1 species
GGUGGUGAUAACUUAUAUUAAAUGAAAUGGUUGGCAUAUAGUAGAUUAACUUUUCGUUUCUUCAGUAAAAUUGUCUUGAACAUCCUUCCUGUUACUGAUGAUGGUUAUGCUGUUACUUUUUAUCAGGUAACAUGACAGAACGUAACAGAAAGGAAUUACGCGAUAGUUUUUGUCCUUUUUAUCACAUUAAAUGUAAGUGCAUUUCCUGUGACAUAUAACUUUUAAAAAGAUGAUAUAAAAACACACUUAAUGCUGUGGUGCACACUUAAAAAUAUUCUCAGAAAGUGUAAGAAAAGGCUGUAACAGGAUAGAACACCAAUAAGUAUUUUUCUAUAAAUUCUUACCUUGGAUGGGCUUGAAUUUUCAAACCUGGCCGCCUUUCCAACUAUUUCUUUGUACUAAUGCAUUCAGGGAAUGAUGCUCUUCACAAUACAUAAUGGGAAAAUAACUCUUGGUCUUGUAAACGUUUCCACAGGUAAAAAAAAAACCAGUGGUAACAGGAGGGAAAUCACCCCUGGGGACAAAUUUUUUUUCUGUUAAAAUUUGCAAAAUUUUAUUACAUGCUAUAGUUAUAACAUAAAAAGACAAAAUAGGGGCAAUUUUAUUAUAUGAUAUAUCAUAUAUGUGAGAAUCGGACGCCUGUUUAAUUAAUUUGGAUAUUAUUUGAAUGAUUUAGUUUUCAAAAAAACACAGGGGACAACAUGAUUUUAGGGGGGGUUGAACAUUUAAAUUACAAUAUUUUAUUGGAAGAAAUAUAAAAAUGAGUGUUUAAUUGGCAGGCCAUGGUGCAUUAUAUAAUUUAGUUUAUACUGAAACUUAAAAUUUUUAAAAAAGAUGGUCGAAUAAAAAAAUAAUUGCUGGUGAAGUGCGGGACAUGGAAAUUAGACUUUUUCAGAUAUUGUCUCAUAUGUUGGUUUAAAAAGGAUGUUGGAAUACUCAGUUAUCAAACUAGGCAGGUAACACUGCAUAUACCACUUCUAUUGAUUUUCAUAUUUAUUCUUAUUAGGCAUGUCUAGAACAAUAAUUUAAGUGACUCAUGAUCACACUCAAAUUUGAACACCUUUUACAAGUUUUGAUUAUGAGCAUUACAUACAAGUUUAACAAUUUUUUUAGCAUUAACUUGGCUGGACUUAGAAACCAGAAUAACGUACCUUGAAAAUAAAACAAUUCAUGUGUUAUUUCCCUUACUGACUUUGGUGGUAUAAAGGCUCUAUACAAUACAGCUUAGUUUCAAUAUAUCUGUAAUUAUGUUGAGAUAAUUUCAAACUUGACAUAUAUACUUUUAACUCUGUUUAAAUUGAGUUUUUAUAAGAUGUGUAGACAUUAUUAACAUGGAUAGGCAUGAACGUAUUGUUUACUUAAUAUGAUAUUGAUAAUCAGAUGCUUAUCUUAAGUUGGAUAUGGCACCUAUUAUAAUUAUAUCAGUAGUUUACAAAUCUGAAGUUUUAGAUAAUUGAAUUAUUUUCAUAUUCAUGAUAUUGUAGAUGAUAUUUUUGGGAUAGAGGAGAACUAUAAUGGAGGGGACAGCUGUAGAUGAAACUUUUGAGGUAGAAGAUCAAAUGUUGUACUAAGAAGACAGCUCUGCUGAGAGUUUAGUGAUGUUAAGGUUUGAGCUUCUCUAAAUUUGACUAAAAGAUAUUGAUAAUGAGUUCGGUUAAAUUAGACAUUUAAAAAAAAAUGAUGUUUUAAGGGCUGUUGAUCCAUUUCCUUUAUCAUCUAAAUAUAGAUGUUCCCAGAAAUGAAGUCUGCAGAUGACUUAUUGCAUUUUAACAACAUUCAGAAUCCUGUGAAGAGUGGACUCUCUUUGUUACUUUACCGUUAAAAAGUCCCUAAUUAUUAUUUAAGUUUCUUUUUAAGUAUAGCCACCAAAAUUUAGGUGAAAUUGUGCUGAAAUUUCAAAAUAUAUUAGAAUUUCCCCAAAAAACUCAGCCUUUAUAUUACACAUCUUUUGUUGGCGCGUCGUAUACUACAUGUAUUUAAGAAAAAUGAAAUUAAAAAAAAAAAAUGUGGAGAACUGAAGAAAAAAAUAUGAUACUGCUGAAAAAUUGUAUGAUAUAGAGAUUUGAGUUCCUCUAAAUUUGAGUUAAAAUACAUUGGUUAUAAGAUUUGUUAAAUAAGACCUUUAUAAUAAAAAUUAUGUUUUAUAAGGCCAAAGAUCUAUUUCCUUUAUUUUUUAAUACACAUACUCCCAGAAAUGAAGUCUGCAGAUGACUUAUUGCUGAACUACAUCCUUAAUUUUAGUUUAUGAAUCAUGGGAAGAAUUGACUUUUAACUUUAUCUUUUAAAACCGGAC